rnacentral:rRNA from 1 species
GGGGAAUAUUGGGCAAUGGGCGAAAGCCUGACCCAGCGACGCCGCGUGGGCGAUGAAGGCCUUCGGGUUGUAAAGCCCUGUCAUGCGGAAAGAACGACCCUGAGACUCAUACUCUCAGGGAGUGACGGUACCGCAGGAGGAAGCACCGGCUAACUCCGUGCCAGCAGCCGCGGUAAUACGGAGGGUGCAAGCGUUGUUCGGAAUUAUUGGGCGUAAAGGGCGCGUAGGCGGUAAUGCAAGUCAGAUGUGAAAUACUCCGGCUCAACUGGGGAACUGCAUCUGAAACUGCAUAACUAGAGUACAGAAGAGGGAAACGGAAUUCCCGGUGUAGAGGUGAAAUUCGUAGAUAUCGGGAGGAACACCAGUGGCGAAGGCGGUUUCCUGGUCUGAUACUGACGCUGAGGCGCGAAAGUGUGGGGAGCAAAC